rfam:Felis catus isolate Cinnamon breed Abyssinian chromosome A2, whole genome shotgun sequence.
GCCUGGGUGGCCCAGCUGGUUGAGCGUCUGACUUCAGCUCAGGUCACGAUCUCACGGCUCGUGAGUUCAAGCCCCACGUCGGGCU